GAGUUUGAUCCUGGCUCAGAUUGAACGCUGGCGGCAUGCCUUACACAUGCAAGUCGAACGGCAGCACGGGGGCAACCCUGGUGGCGAGUGGCGAACGGGUGAGUAAUACAUCGGAACGUGUCCUGUAGUGGGGGAUAGCCCGGCGAAAGCCGGAUUAAUACCGCAUACGAUCUACGGAAGAAAGCGGGGGAUCGCAAGACCUCGCGCUAUAGGGGCGGCCGAUGGCAGAUUAGCUAGUUGGUGGGGUAAAGGCCUACCAAGGCGACGAUCUGUAGCUGGUCUGAGAGGACGACCAGCCACACUGGGACUGAGACACGGCCCAGACUCCUACGGGAGGCAGCAGUGGGGAAUUUUGGACAAUGGGGGAAACCCUGAUCCAGCAAUGCCGCGUGUGUGAAGAAGGCCUUCGGGUUGUAAAGCACUUUUGUCCGGAAAGGAAACCUUUGCACUAAUACUGUGAGGGGAUGACGGUACCGGAAGAAUAAGCACCGGCUAACUACGUGCCAGCAGCCGCGGUAAUACG
rnacentral:rRNA from 1 species